UUCCUGGUUUCAGUUUAGUUUCACUUUCACCAGGAUCGUGUCGCGGGUGUUUUUCUCUCCGUGUCAACCUCCGUCUGAAGGUGCAGCCCUGACUGGUUCCAGGAAGUAUCUCACCUGAGUCUCUAGUGUCCAGGUAGAAAGUUGAUGUGGACUCAGCAGCAUGGACCAGAGGGAGGACAAAGAGGAGGGAGUCAGACAUCUGCAGGACGGGUUGACUGGUUUCAGUCAUUCAUCUGAUCCCAGCUGUGUUUCUCUCAGAAGUGAUCGGUCACAUGAUCACCUCAUUGAUUUUAAAGGACAUCAACCCUCUGCUCCUGAGAGGAUCAGUCCAGACCCCAGCUGUGUGUCCCUCAACAGUGAUCAGUCCAAUGAUCGCAUCAUUGAAUUUAAAGGACAUCAACCCUCUGCUCCUGAGAGGUAAACCAGUGUCCAGCUUCAUCCAUGAGUCAGAGGAGACUAGCUCCUUUCUACAGUUUCCACUUUAACCUGUGGAGGUUGAUUUGAGAAGCAGGCUUUGGAUCAUAGGACACUGGUUUGAAUGGUAACUGACAGGUAGAACAUGUGUGUGGGUGGAGUGAAGAAGCCAUA